CUGGGAGACCCCGUGUGUGUGAAGCCUGUCUACAGCAGCAGUGUCCAGUCUGCAGGAGAAACAGCCUGUGUGUGUUUGAAGUGUUUGAGACUCUUAAGUAGCAGAGGAAACACAACUUCACUCUCACAGCUGAAGCACUAGACCGUGAGGCAAAAUGGCUACUGGGGGCACACACGAAGGCUUUAAACUGGUCGUCCCUGGUCUUGUUGUGAAGUGUGAUGAUGGUGCUGAUGUCACACUACACUGUCACCUGUCUCCUGAAUCCAGUGCUGUUGCCAUGGAGAUCAGGUGGUUUAGGUGGACAGACUGUGUCUACCUGUAUAAGAGUGGUCAUGUGAUAGAGGGGAGGGGCUAUGAGGGCAGAGUGAGUGUGAACCCCCAGCAGCUGCAGAGAGGAGACGUGUCUCUCACACUGAGGAGGAGCAGAUGGAGAGCAGAUAGAGUGUACACAUGCCAGGUCAUCAGUGGAGGACACAAGGAGGAGACCAGAGUUGGAUUGAGGA